rnacentral:rRNA from 1 species
CUACGGGGGGAGCAAGCGUUGUCCGGAAUUACUGGGCGUAAAGGGCGUGUAGGCGGCUUGAUAAGUUAGAUGUGAAAGCCUUCUGCUUAACGGAAGAAUUGCAUUUGAUACUGUCAGGCUUGAGUUCGAGAGAGGGUAGUGGAAUUCCCAGUGUAGCGGUGAAAUGCGUAGAUAUUGGGAAGAACACCAGUAGCGAAGGCGGCUACCUGGCUCGUAACUGACGCUAAUGCGCGAAAGCGUGGGGAGCAAACAGGAUUAGAAACCCUAGUAGUCC